UACGUAGGGUGCAAGCGUUAAUCGGAAUUACUGGGCGUAAAGCGUGCGCAGGCGGCUUUGCAAGACAGAUGUGAAAUCCCCGGGCUUAACCUGGGAACUGCAUUUGUGACUGCAUGGCUGGAGUGCGGCAGAGGGGGAUGGAAUUCCGCGUGUAGCAGUGAAAUGCGUAGAUAUGCGGAGGAACACCGAUGGCGAAGGCAAUCCCCUGGGCCUGCACUGACGCUCAUGCACGAAAGCGUGGGAGCGAA
rnacentral:rRNA from 1 species